rnacentral:rRNA from 1 species
GAUAAAUAUAAUAAAUUAAUAUUUAAUCUAAGAAUACAAGGGUAGAGCUUUGUAAUUCAAUAAUAAGUAAAAUAUAAGUUAAUAAAUAAAUAUUAUGAUAAUUAGGCUUUUUAGUGGCUAUAUUUUUAAAGUGUUUUAACUAAUAUGAAAGAUAAUUUAUUUUGUUAUAGCUUUAUUUGUUUAAUAAUAUGUUUUUUAGAACAGGUAAUUAUUAGUAAUAAUGAAAAUAUUAGUAGAAUAAAUAAUAUGAAAAUAAAAAGAGGUAUUAAAGAAAUAAAAUUUAAGUUGAUUAGAAAAAAGCAUAGGAACUCGGCAAAUAAAGUUCUUGCCUGUUUAACAAAAACAUGUCUUUAUGAAGUUAUAUGAAGUCUGACCUGCCCGUUGAGAUGUAUUGAAAGGCCGCGGUAUAUUGACUGUGCAAAGGUAGCAUAAUUAGUAGUUUUUUAAUUGAAGGCUUGUAUGAAAGGUUGGACAAGGGAUAAGCUGUCUUUGUUUUUGUUUUUGAAUUUGUCUUUUAAGUGAAAAGACUUAAAUAAAUUUAAGGGACGAUAAGACCCUAUAAAUCUUUAUAUUAAUAUAAUUUUAUUUUAAAUUUUAAUGUUUAAAAAGAUAGAAUUAAAAAAUAUUGUAUUGGGGUGAUAGGAAUACUAAAUAAACUGUUCAAAUAAAUAAACAAAGAUGUUUGAUUAAGAAAAGAUCCUUGAUGGAGAUUAGAAGUUUAAGUUACUUUAGGGAUAACAGCGUUAUUUUUUUUGAGAGUUCUAAUCGAAAAAAAAGUUUGCGACCUCGAUGUUGAAUUAAAAUUUCUUUGUGGUGUAGCAGCUACAUAAGAAAGUCUGUUCGACUUUUAAAAUUUU